rnacentral:misc_RNA from 1 species
UCCGGUUUGGCACCGGCAGUCCCUCCAGAGUCCCCGGCAUUACCCGCUGGUAACUGAAGAAAAGGGUUGCGCUCGUUGCGGGACUUAACCCAACAUCUCACGACACGAGCUGACGACAACCAUGCACCACCUGUGCGCGGCCCUUACGGACCCACCAUCUCUGGAGGAUUUCCGUGCAUGUCAAGCCUAGGUAAGGUUCUUCGCGUUGCAUCGUAUUAAGCAACAUGCUCCGCCGCUUGUGCGGGCCCCCGUCAAUUCCUUUGAGUUUUAAUCUUGCGACCGUACUUCCCAGGCGGCGUAUUUAACGCGUUGGCUACGCCACAAAAGGGGUCGAUUCCUUUUACAGCAAAUACGCACCGUUUACGGCUAGGACUAC